rnacentral:rRNA from 1 species
UGACCUCAGAUCAGACAAGGAUACCCGCUGAACUUAAGCAUAUCAAUAAGCGGAGGAAAAA